GACGAACGCUGGCGGCGUGCUUAACACAUGCAAGUCGUACGGUAAGGCCCUUUCGGGGGUACACGAGUGGCGAACGGGUGAGUAACACGUGAGUAACCUGCCCACAACUUUGGGAUAACGCUAGGAAACUGGUGCUAAUACUGGAUAUGUGCUCCUGCUGCAUGGUGGGGGUUGGAAAGCUCCGGCGGUUGUGGAUGGACUCGUGGCCUAUCAGCUUGUUGGUGGGGUAGUGGCCUACCAAGGCGGCGACGGGUAGCCGGCCUGAGAGGGUGACCGGCCACAUUGGGACUGAGAUACGGCCCAGACUCCUACGGGAGGCAGCAGUGGGGAAUAUUGCACAAUGGGCGCAAGCCUGAUGCAGCAACGCCGCGUGCGGGAUGACGGCCUUCGGGUUGUAAACCGCUUUCAGCAGGGACGAAGCUUUUUGUGACGGUACCUGCAGAAGAAGCACCGGCUAACUACGUG
rnacentral:rRNA from 1 species